UGGGGAAUCUUGGACAAUGGGCGCAAGCCUGAUCCAGCCAUGCCGCGUGGAUGAUGAAGGCCCUAGGGUUGUAAAAUCCUUUCGUCAGGGACGAUAAUGACGGUACCUGAAGAAGAAGCCCCGGCUAACUUCGUGCCAGCAGCCGCGGUAAUACGAAGGGGGCUAGCGUUGUUCGGAAUUACUGGGCGUAAAGCGCAUGUAGGCGGGUCGUUAAGUCGGGGGUGAAAGCCCAGAGCUCAACUCUGGAACUGCCUUCGAUACUGGCGACCUGGACCCAAGGAGAGGCGAGUGGAAUUGCGAGUGUAGAGGUGAAAUUCGUAGAUAUUAGGAAGAACACCAGUGGCGAAGGCGGCUCACUGGAUCGGUACUGACGCUGAGGUGCGAAAGCGUGGGGAGCAAACAGGAUUAGAUACCCUUGUAGUCCCUGAGCGGGCUGGCAAGGCGCAU
rnacentral:rRNA from 1 species